GACGGGCAGUCAAGCUGUGUCACGUGAUUUCACUCUCAACACCGCGUCCGAAACCUCAGCGCGUGAGAAUGUUCUGGACUUCCUUACCUGCUCCUGAUUGGCCGACAGGACAGCGCGCGCCUCACUGUGCGUGUGUAUAAACCCCAGCGGCAGGAGAGGUAGUUAUUCCUGCUCUUGAAUUGUUUUUGUAUGAAAAAAUGUGGAGAGGAGUGGGUGUGAUGGAUUUCCUUUUGCCUGGGUUGUUAGCAUGGCUCUGUGUUACAGUGGCCCAAGCCCAGCUUGAGGAUCAUGAUGCUGUUUUUGAUGAAGAGGAAGGUUAUGAUGGUUUUGAGCCAAAUGUGGGUAGUCCUGUAUUCCGGGAGACCCCACCAGAUGGGUAUGAUGGUUAUUCUGCUGGAGAGGUGAGAGGGGUACUAAAUGGGGAAGAGCAGGACUUGAUGGAAAUGGGCUCUGAUGCUGAGGGGGAAGAGCUGGAUAAGGACUCGAGUGCUGAUGUGCAGAGAGAUGUGGCAGCAGUGACAACUGGUCCCUCUGAAGCAGAUCCUCCUUCAUCUGACCCUGAGUCUCAGGGUGACCCCGAGCAGCAGCAAUCCCACAGCCGCCCCCUGCUGUCCUGUGGCAAGAGCAGCAUGAUGCUCAAGUUCUCUGUGAGGAGGUUCAGCCGAGUCUACCUGCUGAAGGGUGAGGUUCUACCCUGCCUGUACUUGCAAUACGCCUCCAGAACAUUCUGCUGGUCUUUGAACAUCACCAGCAGAG
rnacentral:lncRNA from 1 species